GUCCCCUUUGACAGCACGAACAUUAAAAUUAGAGCAAUAUAAAGCAGAUUAUCAUGGCCCUGCGCAAGCAUGGCAUAAAAAUUCAUGAAGUGUUCCAUGUUUAU